rnacentral:misc_RNA from 1 species
UAAAAGAUAAAACCCAGAAUAGGAAUUUAUCCUACGGUUCUAAGUGGGACUAACAGCAGAGGCACUGAAACCGAAACAGGAUUUCUUGAUUUUUGUUGGAGAUGGAGAUGCAGGGGUGUGUUUGCAGAGAAGAGAGGAAACAGAUGAGAAUAAGAGAAGAAAAAUCAUCUUCUUAACAGAGCUUCUCUUCUUUGGAAUUAAACUUGCGCUUUUCUUGUUGAAGCGUGGCUCUGUUAUGGCCGUGACAGCAGCUUCCAAUCUAUUGCUGACCUUCGCCAUUUUCUCUGCCUCCGUCGGCUUUGUCAUGGGUACGAGUAUUUCC